rnacentral:lncRNA from 1 species
CUGCGAUGGGGGUCCUAAGAGCCAGGGAAGCAAGAGGGGCUGCGGGAGACAGCGGCUGUCCUCCAUCUAAAUUGCAAGAGGCUUUCCUCUUUGACUAAUCCACCUCGGCACAGACCCUUUACGGGUCUCAGGCUGGGGGCCAGUCAGGUCUUUAACAUCCCACGAGGCCAUAUUUCAGACUGUUACAUGGGGAGAAACCUUGGACAAUAACCUGCUUUCAAGGGCAGAGGUCCCUGUGGCUUUCCACGGUACAUUGCGCCCCUGGUUUAUUGAGACUAGAGAAUGGCAAUGACUUCUACCAAGUAUACUGCUCGUAAACAUUUGGUUAACAAGGCGCGUCCUGCACAGCCCUAGAUCCCUUAAACCUCGAUUUUAUACAACACAGGUUUUUGUGAGCUCCAAGUUGGGUCAAAGGAAGGGGCUGCGGCAAAGCUACAAAUGAUCAACAUCUCAGUAAAGCAAUUGUUUAAAGUACAGGUCUUUUUCAAAAUGGAGUCUCUUAUGUCUUCCCCUUCUACAUAGACACAGUGACAGUCUGAUCUCUCUUUCUUUACCCUACAUCCAAGGGCUUGAACAUUUCUUG